rnacentral:rRNA from 1 species
GACGAACGCUGGCGGCGUGCUUAACACAUGCAAGUCGAACGGAAAGGCCCUGCUUUUGUGGGGUGCUCGAGUGGCGAACGGGUGAGUAACACGUGAGUAACCUGCCCUUGACUUUGGGAUAACUUCAGGAAACUGGGGCUAAUACCGGAUAGGAGCUCCUGCUGCAUGGUGGGGGUUGGAAAGUUUCGGCGGUUGGGGGUGGACUCGCGGCUUAUCAGCUUGUUGGUGGGGUAGUGGAUUACCAAGGCUUUGACGGGUAGCCGGGCUGAGAGGGUGACCGGCCACAUUGGGACUGAGAUACGGCACAGACUCCUACGGGAGGCAACAGUGGAGAAUAUUGCACAAUGGGCGGAAGCCUGAUGCAGCAACGCCGCGUGCGGGAUGACGGCCUUCGGGUUGUAAACCGCUUUCGCCUGUGACGAAGCGUGAGUGACGGUAAUGGGUAAAGAAGCACCGGCUAACUACGUG